AGUUGUCGGUGAGAACAUCUUGAUUGACCAGUAAAGAAACUCCAGAGAUGAAGCAACAAUAGUGUCCGAGAGAAUCAUCUGCGUCUACUUCAAGAGAUGGCUCCAAUUUACCGCACAGCAUGGUAGCAAAUUCUGGGCUCUUAAUUCUCCAGAAGAAAUGCUCUGCAGCGCUUGAUCUUUAUGUAGGCGAGAGUGUGUUCAUGCUGGAAGGAUGUCACUGUUACAACACUACCGUCUCAGCAUUUGAAGCUGUGGAUCAUCAAAGUGUCCACCUUCAAUGUCACAGCUCGAUGGACUUCCACCACCAACGUUUAGCAUGCGCCAGAGUGCUAGAACUCAAACGAAACUGUUCCUCUUUCACUUCAGCUGACGAACUGUUUGACUUCAGAUUUGGAGCCCACAAGAAGUCCCUAAAGGUGUUGUAAUGGAACUCUUUCAUGUUUCUGAUGAGUGCAGAUAAAAUUUCAGAUGGGAGAUGCGGGUAUCAAUUAGAACAAAUCGAAACCAGAGUCGUGUCAGAUUAGAAGCUCAUUGUACAGAUGAUUGAAUUAGCAAAACAAAUGAGGAAAAAGCAGUUCCAAGUCUCACCGACAGUGGUGGACUAUCUCCUGCAUUAAUCCUUUCAAAGACCAUUAUUACUCCUCUGAAUCAGCCAGAAUCUUGCCAAGCCCAGAAUCUCCUUUCUAAGAAUUUACAGUGGAAGAAGAAAGAAAGCAGUAGGCAGUAGCAGUAUUACUCAAAUUCAAUCCCCUGAUGCAAUAAAGGUGCCACAAAGGACUAAAGGUAGCUGCAACACAUGACAGCAAUCCAACUUGUACUUAUCUGCAUGAUAGAUCCAGUGCCACAAGGCAUGGGAAUUUUACAUGGCUACAAGAUUGAUUUGGGGAUGAAGUGCAAGGAUGUCAAAUUCAGUGAGAUGAAAAGGAGACUUAAACUAAUCUACACUCUUUCAAGUGAGCAUAUGCUAAGCUAUCUGACAUGUAGGAAGCUUAAGUUCAGCUAAAUAAAGAGUGGUCCUUGUGGUUGUGUUCUUCACUCAGGGAGUGGUCCUUGUAGUCAUGUUCUUCACUCAACGGGUAGAGAUCACUCCUCUCUUUCUCAAGUUCUACAUCACAGUCCAUCGAUCACCAAAGUUCACACUUGGGACCAUUGCUACAUUCCAUGUCAUUUUUCAUGGUGGUCCAGAUUGUUUUUCCUGUUGCUUUCUUAGAAGUGCUGCUCUCCGUCGAGAACCAAUCAAGCUUUACUUAUGAGUGGAGGCAGCUCAUGACAAGAAAUAGGAAAAACUUAAGGAUACUUUUACUUCCGUAUGUGUAAGACUUCUUACCAAGAACAAAAGCUUUUUGAGCCUAAGAGAAAUGGCCAUGAAGUGAGGUAGCAUUCCUUCCUACUGAGAUCAUAAUCACAGACUGAUGAAAGAUUUCUGCUUUCCUUGUUUGGGUUUAGAAUUCUAGUUCGACGGUUGGCUCCACCUAUCAUGAUUGCUAUCAUUGAUACCACAUGUGAAUUCGGGAUGGAUGAGAGGCUCUUCUCUGUUGUCACCAGCAAGAUUGGCACUACUUUGUUGGCUUGGACCCUACGAUGCUACUGAGGUUGGAAGAUGUUUCUUCCAUACUACCUCUACCAACUUUUGUGGAAACUGUUUCAGUAGAAUGUUAGAGGUUAUAUAAAGAGAGGUAGAGCUGGGAGGAGAUGAAUAUCCAAUACAGGCCUUCAAACCAAGGGCAAUGGAGUCUCCAGCUUCAGAGUUGCUUGCCGGAGUGAUGAGCAUUUGGAAGAUGGGUUGUUCAGGGUGGAGAAGCAGGGCACGUGCAUCCAUAGCACAUAUUCCUGCUCGCAAAAUGAAGAGUUGUGCCUGUCUUCAUGUGCUCAUCUUCUCCACCAUGCACAACCAAUCUUAUAACUACGAGAAUGAGUUGGUCUGCAGGAUUGGCAAACUUGAAGUCACAGUUGGUCGCUUCACCAUUGCAACCAUGAUCUCUUGUUCAAAUCCCAGUCUCUGUAGGUAAGAACUACUAAACUUUGCUUAGAAAGAAAGAGUAGGAGUCUCAUAUGCAUCUCAUUCACAAUCUGAUUUUUUUUUUUUUUUU